rnacentral:rRNA from 1 species
GAUGAACGCUGGCGGCGUGCCUAAUACAUGCAAGUCGAGCGAACAGACGAGGAGCUUGCUCCUCUGACGUUAGCGGCGGACGGGUGAGUAACACGUGGAUAACCUACCUAUAAGACUGGGAUAACUUCGGGAAACCGGAGCUAAUACCGGAUAACAUGUUGAACCGCAUGGUUUAACAGUGAAAGACGGUCUUGCUGUCACUUAUAGAUGGAUCCGCGCCGCAUUAGCUAGUUGGUAAGGUAACGGCUUACCAAGGCAACGAUGCGUAGCCGACGUGAGAGGGGGGUCGGCCACACUGGAACUGGGACGCGGUCCAGACUCCUGCGGGAGGCAGCAGUAGGGAACCGUCCGCAAUGGGCGAAAGCAUGACGGAGCAGCGCCGCGUGAGUGGAGAGGGUCUUCGGAGCGUAAAACUGUGUUAUGAGGGAAGAACAACUGUGUAAGUAACUAUGCACGUCUUGACGGUACCUGAUCAGAAAGCCACGGCUAACUACGUG